UACAGAGGGGGCAAGCGUUGUUCGGAAUCAUUGGGCGUAAAGCGCGCGUAGGCGGCCAGAUAAGUCCGGUGUGAAAGUCACAGGCUCAACCUGUGAAUGCCGCUGGAAACUGUCUGGCUUGAGUCCGGAAGGGGCGAGUGGAAUUCCUGGUGUAGCGGUGAAAUGUGUUGAUAUCAUCAGGAACUCCGGUGGCGAAAGCGGCAUGCUGGACCUUCACUGACGCUGAUGCGCGAAAGCUAGGGGAGCGAACGGG
rnacentral:rRNA from 1 species